rnacentral:ncRNA from 3 species
ACCCGAAAGAUGGUGAAC